rnacentral:rRNA from 1 species
AUUGAACGCUGGCGGCAUGCUUUACACAUGCAAGUCGAACGGUAACAGGGAGCUUGCUCCGCUGACGAGUGGCGAACGGGUGAGUAAUGCAUCGGAACGUACCCAGUCGUGGGGGAUAACGUAGCGAAAGUUACGCUAAUACCGCAUACGUCCUGAGGGAGAAAGCGGGGGACCGUAAGGCCUCGCGCGAUUGGAGCGGCCGAUGUCGGAUUAGCUAGUUGGUAGGGUAAAGGCCUACCAAGGCGACGAUCCGUAGCGGGUCUGAGAGGAUGAUCCGCCACACUGGGACUGAGACACGGCCCAGACUCCUACGGGAGGCAGCAGUGGGGAAUUUUGGACAAUGGGCGAAAGCCUGAUCCAGCCAUGCCGCGUGAGUGAAGAAGGCCUGG